CCUACGGGGGGCUGCAGUAGGGAAUCUUCGGCAAUGGACGAAAGUCUGACCGAGCAACGCCGCGUGAGUGAGGAAGGCCUUCGGGUCGUAAAGCUCUGUUGCCAGGGAAGAAAGUCCGGGGGAGGGAAUGCCCCCGGGUUGACGGUACCUGAGAAGAAAGCCCCGGCUAACUACGUGCCAGCAGCCGCGGUAAUACGUAGGGGGCAAGCGUUGUCCGGAAUUAUUGGGCGUAAAGCGCGCGCAGGCGGUUUCUUAAGUCUUGUGUUUAAUCCCGGGGCUCAACCUCGGUUCGCAUGGGAAACUGGGAAACUGGAGUGCAGGAGAGGAAAGUGGAAUUCCACGUGUAGCGGUGAAAUGCGUAGAGAUGUGGAGGAACACCAGUGGCGAAGGCGACUUUCUGGCCUGUAACUGACGCUGAGGCGCGAAAGCGUGGGGAGCAA
rnacentral:rRNA from 1 species